UACGAAGGGGGGCUAGCGUUGCUCGGAAUGACUGGGCGUAAAGGGCGCGUAGGCGGAUGGCUUUGUCGGGCGUGAAAUUCCAGGGCUUAACCUUGGGGCUGCGUUCGAGACGGGUUGUCUUGAGUGGGGAAGAGGGUCGUGGAAUUCCCAGUGUAGAGGUGAAAUGCGUAGAGAUCCGGAGGAACACCAAAGGCGAAGGCAGUGUCCUGGGGAGUACCUGACGCUCAGGUGCGAAAGCGUGGGGAGCAAACAGG
rnacentral:rRNA from 1 species